UGGUGGUUAUGGCGGAGCGGCUGCACCCGAUCCCAUUCCGAACUCGGCCGUGAAACGCUCCAGCGCCAAUGGUACUUUGUCUUAAGACACGGGAGAGUAGGUCGCUGCCA
rnacentral:rRNA from 1 species